rnacentral:rRNA from 1 species
UACGGGGGGGGCAAGCGUUGUUCGGAAUUACUGGGCGUAAAGGGCUCGUAGGCGGCCAACUAAGUCAGACGUGAAAUCCCUCGGCUUAACCGGGGAACUGCGUCUGAUACUGGAUGGCUUGAGUUUGGGAGAGGGAUGCGGAAUUCCAGGUGUAGCGGUGAAAUGCGCAGAUAUCAGGAGGAACACCGAUGGCGAAGGCAGGUCUCUGGGCCAUAACUGACGCUGAGAAGCGAAAGCAUGGGGGAGCGAACAGG